rnacentral:rRNA from 1 species
UAUACCAAAAGGUAUGGGGAUUACUAGUAAUAAAUAGCAGUUUAAAAACUUUUUCUAAAUGAAGUAUAGGAGCAUUAGAAACAUUAUUUUAGAUUUUGUCUGGUAAGAUGGAAGCAUUGUUUUUAAGCGUUAAAAAAAAGUACCUUUAGUAUAAUGGCCUUUCAAGAGAUUUUGCUGUACUAGCACCUCCCGAAAUAAAAAGAUUUUUAGGAAAGCAGAAUAAUAGAGAUAUUCGAUGUAAGAAUUCUUGAAUAAACUUUGCUAAGGAUGUGAUAUGCAAUUUCGAGUUUUAAGAUAGCUGGUUGUUCGAAAAAUGCUUUUAAGUGCAGCUUUAAUGUGGGGUGUAGUGUGUUAAAGAUACUCACUAGACCAGGAUGUUAUAAGUGAAAAAUUCGGCUAAAGGUUGGAUUUAUAAUGCUUUCUAAGUUAUUAAAUUUUUAGAAAGAGAAAUUGGGUUUAUGCUGCCCAUUUUGUUAUGAGUAUUUAACAACUUGUCUUUCUAAUAGUAAAAGAAUAAUUUCUAAAAAAUGAGGCUUAGCAAAUCGUUCACCUGUCUAAGAUAUUCUUUGAUUGAUUAUUAUGCUGGGAUUAGUAAUAACAUA